UUCUUUCUAAGAUUGUACAUUGUUCAUCCGUCCACAGGAUGUCGCUAUUCUAACUCAGAAUCUUAAGUUUUUCUUUGGUAUUGCUGUUUGCGCUCGGCUUCCCCUAGUGGCGACUUGCUGUAAGCAGCAGGCAGAAAGAACUUUUUAUUUCAGUUGGAAAAGAGGCCUUGAGGUGUUAAGACGUUACACACCUCCUCUGCACCAUACAUCGUUGGGAACCCUUGACAAAACAAAAUCUUUUUACCACACACACACACGCACACACGUUGACACAAAGAAAUAAAUGAGAGGAA